rnacentral:lncRNA from 1 species
GUCUCAACAGUGUUGGAGGCGCAGGUUACAAACAGUCUCCUGAUGGAGAGAAGCAAAGAGCGGAUGAUGCCGGAGGCUGAGGAAUCUCAUUACUAAUAUCUGCCCAACAAGGAUCGCAGUUAGAUUUACGUGCUGAGAAAUCAAGUUAUCAUUGAUGUUCUAGGUGUUGCAGUGGUGCAGAAGCCCAGGGUCAGCACAUCUGGAAGACUCCUCUGGGCUUCUUUCUGAAUAGCGUGGUGCAGAGAUGUCCCUUGUCCAAGUUCACAUGAGGCCCCCGCAGCUGCUGCUCUUCUGCCACAGACUCUCAGGCCACUGCAACAUAGGAAUUAAAUGAGCAACAGAACUGCCUGAAAUCAGAAGGUUUCUGUGUAUCCUGUCCUGGGCUACAAACACUGCGUGGUGCUCCAGAAGUCCUGGCUCACUGUCAGCAGCAUCUCUGGUGGCAACAGCAAACCAGGGCUUCACAGCUUUAGAAAACACCAUCUUUCUAGACUGUGUUUCAUUUAUUUUUAAAGCUUCUGUAGUAAUCCUCUAAUUGCCUUAUGGAGAGUAGAUGCACUACUUUAUUUUUUUAAUUCUCUAUACGAGGGACUCGUAAUUGAGCAUUACUGUAAUAUUUAAAUAAAUAAUAACAGAUUUGACAAUCAUAAUCAUAAUCAUA